CCACCUUGCGUGGUUAAGGCCCCCCACAGACCAUGGGGUUGAUAGGCCGGAACUGGAAGCGCAGCAAUGCGUGGAGGUGACCGGUACUAAUCGGCCGAGGGCUUACACACAACCAAGCCAGAAG
rnacentral:rRNA from 1 species